UGGGCUGGUCGAAAGACCCUGGCCCACCAAGCGGCGGGGAUAUACCCC
rnacentral:sRNA from 1 species